CAUUUGUGUUUCGAGUCCAUAAAAUCUUGUGUUAAGCAACUAAGACCAAAGGGUAUGGGGUCGUCAUCUAUCCGUCCCGGCUCGUCGCAGGCGUCCCACACCGCUCCCUCCUUGGCGUCGCGUCUCCGGCGGCUUCUGCAAGACGGAGGCGACGAGCUAUUUGGUAGGCUGAGUUUUCAUUGGAAAUCCAAGUUCAAAGUACUCCACUCACCACUCUUCAUGUUCUUCCCUCUCAGGCGACUCCAUAGCCUGCGUCACUGACCGGCGAUUCCACGGCCGACAGCCGGUGAUUUCAUUCUCGGUGAUCCAGUUAAACGUUUCAGUUUGCCAGUUACCCCAUUCAUUCGGACGGCGUUUCCUUUAUUCGGCUAGCGAUUCCAUUCUAUCGGGUACGAUUUCAUCACAGGAAUAAUUUAAUUUCUCUUCAUCCUGGUAAUUGGGUUUAAAUGAGUGGGUAGCGAGGCCAGGUUUUGUAAGUUUAAAAGCGUUCUUAUACUAUGUUUAUGUGACAAUUUGAUUUAUAUUUAAGAUUGAUUUUUCAAUUUGUUUUGGAUGA